ACGCACCAUUGUACGUGCGUUAGCCUUCUCCCACUUUGCACAGAGUGUCAGCUAUACUGUAUUUUUAUCUGGGUUUUUUCACUUCAUAUUUGCUCCCAAAUGCUGAUACUCCGUGGGAAUGCAUAAAGUAGGUUUCCAGGGAUGGCAAGGAGGAGAAACAUGAUGGACACCAUAGAACCAGAAAUCAACUUUGAAAAGUGCUACACAUCCUGGCUAAUAAUAAAAGACGUUACUGUGCAUCAUCCAGAAAGUGGGGUGGCACCUGCUGGUGGUAAGAUGCACUGCACGCUAGACGUGACAACAUGAUUUCCCAGAGUGACGCGUUCACUGAUUUGGGCAAAAUGCGUACCUGUCAGCGUUUGCAUUUGAAAAUAAGGGAAACUCAUUUGCAAGAAAAACUCUCUGGCUGGGGGUGAUCUGACUGCGCUGCACCAUUGUCCUCGCAGACCGCUGUCGCUCAAGUGACUUUUAAAGUAAAGAUAUUACUGCAGGUUUAGUCUGCAAUGAUAAAAAAAUACUUUUGUAAAUAACUAAAUACAAUUUCAAGUAAAUGCAUAUCAGGUUUGGAAAUAUGGGCCAUUAUUUUAUUUAAAAAAUAAUAUAGUUUGAAGUUUUUGCAUGUUUAUGUUGUAUUUGCGAGUGUCCCACUUUGUUUGACAGUCCUUGAACGCACCAUUGUACGUGCGCUAGCCUUCUCCCGCUCUGCACAGUGUCAGCUAUACUGUAUUUUUAUCGGGGUUUUUUCACUUCAUAUUUGCUCCCAAAUGCUGAUACUCCGUGGGAAUACAUAAAGGUAAAGUUUGAUGACGUUAUUGAGUGCAAAUGUGUAUAUUUGUUGUGUGGACAGCUUCCGAGUUAUUCACGCUAGCAUCAACAUCAAGCAGCGGCGCGAUAAUCUUCUCUCUGAAAAACAAACUCCAAGCUUAUAGUGGUGGAUGGUGGGUCUGUAUUCACUCUGUGCUUUUAAUUUGAUGUUGAUCCUGUCUUAGUUUUACACAAUACAUACAAAAUAGAUAAAUUACAUCGCUAACCCCCCCCGUGGGAACACGAGCCGGGCCGUGGGUCCAAAAAGGUUGGGGACCACUGUGUUACAGCAUUGGUGUGUUUCAUCAUGUUUGAAACUUGGCUUCAAAACACACAUUUACAUUUGUACGAGUUAUCAAACUAUUCCUUUUAAUUGUUCAUGCACCUUAUUGACUUAUUGAAAUAUUCCACUUCCACAACAAACAUAUCUGCAAAGAGUCAUGAUAAAACAUCUUUUCGGGAAUACAAAAAUGAGACAAAUAAAAGGGGGGGAGAGAAACAGAAAUCGGGACUGGUUGUUGGGAUAACAUCACCGUGUGUUUAGCCUGCACAUGUGUGUGUUGUAUCAUGCAGGGACACAAAAUAUCCAGCAGUGACAUGUCAAUGUUGCCCUCAGGAGGACAAUUAGUAUUACGUACUAAAAUCAAAUAACAAAUACUUUGCUUACGUUUUUUUUCCUGCAAGUGAAAAAGUGAUGCGUGUGCUCGCCAGAGGCUUCAUUCUACAUCUACUGAGGAUGUAACCAUGUUCACAAAGACGGUGCACUUCAACAACAACAAAAGCUAGUGCUGCUUUGUUUUGUUUUUAAAUGGUGAGCAACCCGACUGCAACUGCCUUCAUUUCAAGAGUCCUUUCAGGAGAGCCCUUGACGUUCUUCUAGUCUACAUCUUUUACUGCAUGUGGGUAUCCAUUCUGUGAAGACACACAGCAGACAUGGAAUAUGAAUAUCCUAAAAUGGACAAAUAGUCAAUGACUUAUGGGCAAUUGGUCCCACCUGUGCCCCCGCAAAGAUGAUUUGCUUGAUUGCGGCCAUGUUUUUCGACCAAUCGUCCUCAAAUUUUACACACAUGUGCUUGUCAGUCCCCUAAAGGGCUGUACCAAAUUCUGUGGGGAUUUGGCUAAACACCCUAAAGUUACAGUGGGUGGUUUGUAGAGCGCAUUGGGCGGCCUGAGAAAUUUCAAGUUGAGGGUGAGCGUGUGUUUACUUUUGUCAUUUCUAGCAGUGUAUCCCUCAGUUACAAUGAUGGGGCAAGGGAGCAAUCAGUGGUAUCAGCAUCAUCAUACGGUAUCAGCUAGGUCAGGGGUCGGCAACCUGCGGCUCUUCAGCUUCUGUGUUGUGGCUCCCUUUGCAAUGCUCGAAUAUUUAUUUUAACACCCGAGUGGGGAAA